ensembl:snRNA U6 U6 spliceosomal RNA
GCUCGCUUCAGCUGAACAUAUACUAAAACUGAAACGAUACAGAGAAGAUUAGCAUGGCUCCUGCACAAAGAUGACGUACAAAUCAUGAAGCGUUCCAUAUUUUU